rnacentral:rRNA from 1 species
UACGGAGGGGGCUAGCGUUGUUCGGAAUUACUGGGCGUAAAGCGCACGUAGGCGGCUUUGUAAGUUAGAGGUGAAAGCCCCGGGCUCAACCUGGGAACGGCGCUUGGGACGGCGAGGCUGGAGUUCGGGAGAGGAGAGUGGAAUUCCCAGUGUAGAGGUGAAAUUCGUAGAUAUUGGGAAGAACACCGGUGGCGAAGGCGGCUCUCUGGACCGACACGUGACGCUGAGGCGCGAAAGCGUGGGGAGCAAACAGG